rnacentral:rRNA from 1 species
UACGUAGGGUGCAGGCGUUAAUCGGAAUUACUGGGCGUAAAGCGUGCGCAGGCGGUUUCUUAAGUCAGAUGUGAAAGCCCCGGGCUUAACCUGGGAACUGCGUUUGAAACUGGGAGACUUGAGUGUGGCAGAGGGGGGUGGAAUUCCACGUGUAGCAGUGAAAUGCGCAGAUAUCAGGAGGAACACCGGUGGCGAAGGCGGAUCUCUGGGCCUUACCUGACGCUCAGGCACGAAAGCUAGGGGAGCGAACAGG